CAAAUCCUAUUUCCCCGAUGUUGUGGUAGAGUAGAUCGAGAUACCAAUUCCUAUACCGCUGAAGAUACAAUUGGAUGGGACGAGACUACCUAAAGAGGAGUAACGUAAGGUUCAACAAGACCCGGAAAAAUUGGCCUUUUAGAGUCUUUGCUUCAUUCCCAUUACACGACAAUGAGCAAAGAGGGGCAGCUGUAGCAAGCCAUUUUAGCCCGGCCUACAUACAUUUCAAAAAGAAAAAACAAAUAAAUAAAUAAAAAUAAAACCAAAUAAAAAAUGAAAGGUCCAAUAACAGUCUAUUUAUAGACCCAAAAUCUAACCCAACCCACCAUACCCAAAUACAUAGCCCAAAUUAUUUACCCAAAAAAUAACCCGAUUAUAAUGGCCCGAACGAUCCAAAUUCAGAAACCGUAGAGGUUUCUCGAUUUUUCUGGUGUAGCAGCG
rnacentral:lncRNA from 1 species